GGAAGGGGAGCAGGCUCCCUGCUGAGCAGAGAGCCCGAUGUGGGGCUCGAUCCCAGGACCCAGGGAUCAUGACCUGAGCCGAAGGCAGAGGCUUUAACCCGCUGAGCCACCCAGGCACCCCGUCUCACUCUUUUUGAUACCCCACAACAGACAGGAUCUAAGGUGCCUGUGCCCCCAUUGGAGCCUCAAGUCUGUCUCUGCACCCAUAUCCAGGGACAUGAACAAGAACGGAGGGAGUCUGAUUUAACUUAGAGCACUCUAACUCAGGUCAGUGUUUGGGGGGGAGGAUUUCCAUCCUGGGACAAAGAGUAUCCCCCAUCCCGUUUUUUUUUUGCCAGCGUGCUAGUUUAAAAACAAUAAUAGUAAUCCCUGGCAAGAAAGAAUUCCCGAACAUGGAGAGGGUGAAAACAAUGAAUAAGGAGAUGAUUUUCCAUUUCUGGACCCUGAGGGAGUUUUGUUUUUGUUUUUGUUUUUGUUUUUUAAUUUAUUUUGAGGGGAUCAAGAUACUCUGAACUUUAGGGAGUGCUGUAAUUUACUGGAGAGGGGACACAAAACUCGGGGCCCCAAGCAAUUGGUGGGAAACCAGAUCUCAACGCAGAAAAUGAAAAGUCGAUCUGGGGGAAGAUUUUUAAAUAAAUGGGUCAGAGGAACGGAGAGGAGAUGAGGCGAUCAAUCUUAGCCCCCUGACAGCUCCCUCCGAUGGCAUCAAAGAAUUUGGCUCUUUGGGAAAGCAGAGGGAGCAGCCGAAAUUUCACAUCCCUUUAAAAGGCCUGGGGGUGGGGGGGAUAGCAAAAGAGAAAGGUGAUUCUGGGAGAGCGGAGAAACAGAUGGGAAAUGGGGACAGAGGAAAGGACACUGAGUUGGGUGGAAAGUUUGUCUGGAGAACUCCCACGGCUCGGGCCUCCCCUCCCCCUCCUCCUCUCCGCUGCCCGGCAAGGAGGAGAAGGCUGGUUAGCAGAGAAAUGGCAACUCAGCCGGGAGCUGGAACUAGAAACUUUCUGUCAAUGUAACAGCCGCGUGGGUGGCGACCCAAUGGUGGUUGGGCUCCGGGUCACGUGAUGACUUCUUUGUAGCUCCGGAAGAGAACUGUGAAGUUUAGGUUGCUUGGAAGAAGCAGUAAACGGCCAGAUUUUGUUAUUGUUGUUGUUGUUGUGUAAGGGGUGGCCAGGAAGUUGUGGCCAAAGGAGCAAGAAGACAAAAGGUCAAUGAGAAAAACUGAGAAGCAAGAGAAUUGGAAGGGGGAAAAAAAUCAAGAUUUGGAGAAAUUAACCACCGAGAUGGAAGGUAAGUUGGUUGGUUGGUGAUGGCCUAGCCAUCUUGUCUGUUUUUGUUUGUUUUAAUGUGCUUCUCUACCUUGCUUCCCUAUCUCCUCUUCCUCCACCCCACUCGGAGCGUAGAAUCCCAACUGGGUAUUGCUGGAGGCCUAGGGUUGAUGGGGUCAUCUCAUCUCCACAACCCGCUGUGGAGUGCUCUCCGACGGGUUGGCAGGCAGAUGGAACAGGGACUGGAAAACCUUAAAAUGUAACUUCUCAGGCCAGGGGAAGGGAAAGGAGCUGCAGGCCUGGCCUUCCCAGGAAGCGUGGCUAUCACCUCCUGGCUUUCUCCGUCAGACCUCCAGGCUGCCCUCCCGGAGCCCGGCGGCCCGGCGCCCAUUCUGGCUGUCAUUUACCCCAUGGCCUCUCCCCUCCGCCCUCCCUCUCCCAUCACAGGUGUGUUAAUUUGGGCGCUUCUUGGAUUCUACCCUGAGGAGGAGGCGCAUGGUGAGAGGAGAGGUCUGUGUAGGUAGGGUGGGGGUCGCAGGGUCCGUGGUGCUGGUUGGGGGCCAUAGGGGGCGCCCCAUUGUAGUCCAGGUUCCCCGAGGGGUGGUGGGAAAGGUGGUUGAGGCCGUAGAGGGAGGGGCCGGCAGGGGGCGGCAGCGGAUCCGCGUAGCCGCCCCCGCCCACGUACACCGGGCUGCCCUGCAUGGUGGGCGUCCCGUAGGCGCCCCCAUUGGCUUGGAGGACAUGAGGCUCGUAAUCCGGCGCCGGGGUCGGGGGGUACUUCUGCGGGGCGCCGCAGCCUUUGAGAGGGGGCUGGUAGUUGGAGGGCAGCGCGUAGGCAUUCUGGUGGGCUUUGCCGAAGGCGGGUGGGGACGGGCUCUCGUAGCUGGGGGUCAUGGAGUGUAAGGCGUUCAUGAAGCCGGCCGUGGACUGCAUGGGCUGCGGGGGGCUGCCGGCGGGGGAGGGGCCCCCGGACGACGAGGCCAGGCCCUUGGCCUUCUGGUCCUUCUUGUACUUCAUGCGCCGGUUCUGGAACCAGAUCUUGAUCUGCCGCUCGCUGAGGUUCAGCAGGUUGGCCAUCUCCACGCGGCGCGGCCGGCACAGGUAGCGGUUGAAGUGGAACUCCUUCUCCAGCUCCACCAGCUGCGCGCUCGUGUACGCCGUCCGCGCGCGCUUGGACGCCGCCGACCCCGGGGGGCUCUUGUCCCCUCCCCCGCCGCCGCCGCCGCCGCCCCCGCCGCCGCCACUGCUGCCGCCGCCGCCGCCGCCGCAGCCCUCCGCUGGAUCCGAGGGGGAGGGGUGGGAAGGGACAAAAUGAAAUAAAAGAUAAUUACUGAACACGCCGAAAUUGAAUGCAUGGUUUCUUAAUAAAUCCAGGCCUGGACUCGGAGCCCCCGCCGCCCUCCCCUUCUCGUCCCCGCCUCCUCCUCACCACUACCCCCCCAACGCCCGUCGCAUUAGCGGACACUCUAUAAUAGUGGCAUUUAUUAAGAGACCUGUUCUCCUCUUGCUGCCCCAGCUUAUGAAAAUUUGAUCAUGUCACGCAGACAGAGCCGCAUGGCCAUUUAUUUAGAGCUGGAUUUUCGCGCGCACGCUUUCUCCCCCCAUCCCCAAUUCCAGGUUCUGGGAAGACCCCCCAUCUCCCACCCUCCCACCCCUACACUUCCUGCUGGGUCCUAUGGACAAGGGGGGCGGCCAAGGAGAACCCCUGGGGGAAUCUGGACACUCGGGGGGCAGGGCGCGGAAGCGCGGCUCGAAGAGGCUGCUUUGCCUGGGGGCCGGCACCCCAGGCCGCCGGAGCGCUUGUGAUUAAUACCCACAGUAAUCAUACUUAAUAAUAAUCAAUCGUUGACGACUCUGCGUCUGCUGGCGGGUCUCGUGGCUCUGCGGCCUUGCGAAGGGCUGCGGCCGCGCGAACACCUGGCCUUCUAGAGCGCUCGGCAGCUCAGGUGGAGGGCGGCUGGCGGGAGAGGGUGCUGGCGGGGUCAGAGGUCGUCAGGGGGAGGAGGGUGGGUACGGGCAAAGCGCCGCAGCCGCCGAGACUUAUAUUGUUCCCAGGCCGCCGCCCGGGCGCCUAGGGGCUGGGUGCUAGAAUAACAGUGACAUUCCUGGCCCGGACAAAAGCUGACGACGAGGAAGGCAGAGAGCUGGUCUCUCACCCAAGCAGAGUCUAUCCUGGAGG